rnacentral:rRNA from 1 species
UACGUAGGUGGCAAGCGUUGUCCGGAUUUACUGGGCGUAAAGAGCGCGCAGGCGGUCGUUCAAGUCGCGUGUGAAAGCCCCGGCUCAACUGGGAGGGUCACGCGAUACUGAUCGACUCGAAGGCAGGAGAGGGAAGUGGAAUUCCCGGUGUAGUGGUGAAAUGCGUAGAUAUCGGGAGGAACACCAGUGGCGAAGGCGACUUCCUGGCCUGUUCUUGACGCUGAGGCGCGAAAGCUAGGGAGCAAACGGG